rnacentral:rRNA from 1 species
UACGUAGGGUGCGAGCGUUAAUCGGAAUUACUGGGCGUAAAGUGUGCGCAGGCGGCCGCGCAAGUCGAGUGUGAAAGCCCCGGGCUUAACUUGGGAAUUGCGCUCGAAACUACGUGGCUGGAGUGUGGCAGAGGAAGGUGGAAUUCCAGGUGUAGCGGUGAAAUGCGUAGAUAUCUGGAGGAACACCGGUGGCGAAGGCGGCAUCCUGGACCGGCAUUGACGCUGAGGAGCGAAAGCCAGGGGAGCAAACGGG